CACAAAUCAAGCCACGCUUGGUGUUGGACGCGGCCCCGUCAAAAGGGCCCGUCCCAAAGGCAUGGGCGAGGACACCGACCCCCGGCGUGUUAGAAAUCUGAAACGUCGGGAGCACCGGUGCCCCUCCGCCGUCAAAUCUUUUAACAAA
rnacentral:misc_RNA from 2 species